rnacentral:lncRNA from 1 species
GUGGUCGUUCUGAGAACAAUGACACUGGUGCGCACGUGCAUGUGAAGACUCCAUUUUCUAUUUUCAGUGUUUGAACGAAAACAACAUCUCCCGGUUGGAAUAUUAUCGCUAUUUUACAAGAAAAAUCGCAUAAAAAUUUAUUUUAAACAGCGUUUGACAUGCUUCGAAGUACGGUAAUGGAAUAUUUUGACUUUUUUGUCACGAUACGCGCCGGCGCGUCACCCUUCGGAUAGUGUCUUGAACGCAAGAACAAAACGCAGCUAUUUGGAUAUAACUAUGGAUUAUUUGGGACCAAAACAACAUUGGGUGUUGAAGUAGAAGUCCUGGGAGUGCAUUCUGACAAAGAACAGCAAAGAGUUGUGGCUGAACGACGACAUGGAUAAAAUAAAACUGGUCGGGAUUUACGCUGCAUCGGCAAGAUAGAAGAGCUACCUCCGGACCUGAGCCCUAGGACCAUGCCUCAGGACUACCUGGCUAGAUGACUCCUUGCUGUCCCCAGUUCACCUGGCCGUGCUGCUGCUCCAGUUCCAACUGUUCUGCCUGCAGCUAUGGAACCCUGACCUGUUCACCGGACGUGCUACCUGUCCCAGACCUGUUGUCCCAGACCUGCUGGAACCCUGAC